UCAGGUCCUCUUGACUUUAGGGCGGGAGCUCUAUCCACUGCACCACGAAGAAAGCAGUUUCCAAGGACAUUGCUGAGAAAAGAAGAAAGGAAAUAUGUGCAACUGAUUUUAUUACAACCACUUUCAGGGAAAGAAGUUGAAUUGCCAAGCAUACAAGCCAAAAAUUGAUUUAGCAGCUGCACAGCCAGCUAAAUCCAUGUUUUCUACCCAAUCUAGAAGAGACUUGGUCUAAAAUCAGGAGGAAUGGAAGAGGACCCAAUCAGGAAUCCCAGCUCUGAAUCCUAGCCCUAAUAUUUACUAUCUGUGUGACCUUCAGGAAAUUACUCCUCACCGUCACCACCAGUUAAGUUUCCUCAUCAGAAAAAUGAGGGGAUUAGACUAAAUUAACCAUAAAAUAUUUUCUAGCUUUCAAUUGUGUCACCUUAUUUUCUAAAGAGUUUUGAAAUAAAGGUCUUUGGGAGAUGAGAGGGAGAAAUUACAUGAUAUUUGUAUUGCCUUCCUCCCAAUACAAUGAUUGUGCCUUCUCUGAUUCUGAGUCCUCCCGAGAAGUCUUACUCUAAUGCCAUGGCACAAAAAUAAUUAUGGGCUCCCAAAUGGCUAUAUUCGCAAUACCAAAGUUCCAAUAUUCUCAGCAAUUCAACAAAUUCAAUAGAUACAUAUUGAGCUCUUACUGUACUUUGUGCUGGGGAAUACAAAGAAAAAAAAAAUGAAAUAGCCCCUUAUACUGAAAAUAUAAGGAAGGGAAGAUUUUUCUCAGAAUCAAAUAAAGAUAUUCUGCAAGCUGACCACAAAAUACAACACAGUGAAAACUAAGCACAUUCUCACAAAGAACAUCUUCCAAAUUUGAGUAUUUUUCCAUAACUGGAAUUCUUUCCUUUCUCAUCUCUGCCUCUGGCUUCCUACAUAUCCCAGCUAAAAUCCCAUCUUCCACCAGAAAU